GUCUAUGGCCAUAACCACCCUGAACACACCUGACCUCAGAAGCUAAGCAGGGUUAGGCCUGAUUAGUAAUUGGAUGUGAGAUAGUACAGUAGUACAAAGGACAAGAUU
ensembl:rRNA 5S_rRNA 5S ribosomal RNA